AUGACAUCGCCGGCGCCGGCGGCGUCGGGCGGGCGGGAGGGCGACGGGAUGCUGAUCACGCCGCUCGGCGGCGGCAGCGAGGUGGGCCGCUCCUGCGUCCACCUGAGCUUCAAGGGGCGCACAGUCCUAUUCGACUGCGGCAUCCACCCGGCAUACCUCGGCAUGGCGUCGCUGCCCUUCUUCGACGAGAUCGACCCCGCCGCCGUCGACGUCCUCCUCAUCACGCAGCAGGUCAUAGACUUCCACCAGACGUUGCAAGUUAAUGGCAUACGCUUCUGGUGCUAUACUGCAGGCCAUGUACUUGGAGCUGCCAUGUUCAUGGUGGAUAUUGCUGGCGUUCGCAUUCUUUACACUGGUGACUACUCCCGUGAAGAAGACAGGCACCUGAAAGCUGCUGAGAUCCCCCAGUUCUUCCCUGAUAUUUGCAUUAUCGAGUCAACUUACGGUGUGCAGCGACACCAACCCCGCCAUGUCAGAGAGAAGCGCUUCACUGAUGCCAUCCACAACACUGUUUCUCAAGGGGGCCGUGUUCUUAUCCCGGCAUUUGCUCUUGGUAGAGCACAGGAGCUGCUGCUUAUCCUAGAUGAGUAUUGGUCCAACCACCCAGAGCUCCAUAAGAUUCCAAUCUAUUACGCCUCCCCUCUUGCGAAGAAUUGUAUGGCUGUCUACCAGACAUACAUAAACUCCAUGAAUGACAGGAUCCGCAACCAGUUUGCACGGUCCAAUCCCUUCCAUUUCAAGCAUAUUGACCCUUUGAAUAGCAUAGACAACUUCCAUGAUGUUGGUCCGUCAGUGGUGAUGGCAAGUCCAGGUAGCCUCCAAAGUGGCCUCUCCACGCAGCUCUUUGCCGCCGCUUUCACCAACCUCUAUAAGAACACAUGUGUUAUUCCAGGUUAUGCUGUUGCUGGCUCCCUCGCAAAGGAGAUCAUCACUGAGCCGAGAAAAGUGCAGCUAGUAAAUGGGCUCACUGCUCCUCUCAAUAUGCAGAUCUUCUACAUCUCCUUUUCAGCUCACGCGGAUUUCCCACAGACGAGCGGCUUCCUGGGCGAGCUUCGCCCAGCCAACAUUAUUCUUGUACACGGGGAAGCAAAUGAGAUGGGGAGGCUCAGACAGAAGCUGAUCACUCAGUUCGAAACUGCCAACCAGUGCAGCUGUAAGACGGCCAAGGCAAUUGGCAGAUUGGCAGAAAAGGUGCCAGAAGUGGGAGAUUCGGUCAGUGGCUUGCUUGUGAAGAAGGGCUUCACGUACCAGAUUAUGGCUCCUGAGGACCUCCGGGUGCACACACAGCUAUCUACCGCCAACAUUACUCAGCGGCUCGCCGUCCCAUAUUCCGGUUCUUUUGAAGUCAUCAAGUACAGACUGAGGCAAAUAUACGAGAGCGUGGAAUCAUCAACCGACGAAGCCAAUGUUCCAACACUGAUUGUUCAUGAGAGGGUGACCAUCCGCCUGGAUUCAGAGAGCUACGUGACGCCACAGUGGUCCUCUGAUCCCAUAAGCGACAUGGUGUCUGAUUCCGUGGUGGCCAUGAUCUUGAACAUAGGGCGUGAGGGACCAAAGGCCGUUCCGAUGGAAGAGGAAACGGAGAUGGUUGCGCAGAAGGUGGUGUUUGCUCUAAUGGUGUCGGUCUUCGGUGACGUUAAAGUGGCGGAGGAAGGGGUGCUUGUUAUAACUGUCGAUGGAGAUAUCGCCUACUUGGAUGGGAGGAGCGAUGAUGUUGAGUGCCCGAAUGCUGCGCUGAAAGAGAGGAUAAAGACCGCGUUCCGUCGCAUUCAGGGUGCUGUGAGACCAAUCCCGCUGUCGGCCUCCUGA
rnacentral:rRNA from 1 species